rnacentral:lncRNA from 1 species
AUCUGUCCUCGGCAUUUCUCAUUUACCAUAUAACUGACGGUGGUGUCGAUAUAAUUUUUUCAAUUUCAAGCUAAAGGAUCCGUUUGCACUCAUUGUUGUAAUUUUGUUCGAAUCUUUUAAUUUUCGUUUUCCCAAUGAUAUUCAGGUAAUCUGGAGUUUGUCUCGUAAGAGGAACAAGUUCUCAGAUCAUGGGAAGAUCAAUAUCCAAUCGGGAGUUAAUUGAAGAUCUUGAGCUGCGACUAGCAUCGGCACCCUCUUUCUCACUGAAGGGAGGGACUUUGGGUAACAAGUACGUUAGGAGCUGUCGUAGUUUGACUACAAUCGAUGAAGAUAACGAUGUGGAGAUGCACUCUCCACAACGUCUUUUACUGGUCAUUUUUCCGCCCGUCUUUAAGAUUUGUUCUUUUUGAAUCCCAACUCACUUAUUGACUGAAAUUUUUUCACAGACAGUUGGGCUCUCUCCUCGCUCAAGCUCUGGGUGGCUGUGCUUAGGGAAGGGGAUUUGGAAUUGCUCCUCGAACUGGGAGGUAACACAUUUCUUCAUAUUUUUCCUGUUUUCUAUUGUUUGUGAUAUACCGUAUAGAAUGUGUAUUUUCUGUAUACGACUGGAAGAUUUCCAAGAUGCCCUUCAAAGAGCUUCGCCCUUUGAGAAUGACGUUGGUUGCGUCGCUGUUGUCUAUUUAUUUGCCAAGUUUAUGCUAGCUAAGUAUUUCUGACUCAUAAAUGGUGGUCUUUCAAGGCUUUUAUUUCAAAACUUUGCCGUUUUCAAAUCACAUCGAAAGGUUUACGGAUGGUAGUUUAUUAAAAUUUGUUCUGACUGAGAUUUUUCCCUCAUCGGACAUCACACUCUCAGAGGAAGGUUUUUAUUGGGUUAGGCCUCUAGGAUAGCGUGAUAAGCCAUUGGCCAAGGGGUUGACCACAGAACCAGAGAAUCCAUGUAUUUUUUCCUCUUAAAAGUUCUGCAUAGGACAAUCUGUAUGCGAUAACGACUUCGUUUCUCCUUCCAAGGUUAUUUCGAAGUUUCUUGAUCCUUUAUAUUUGCAUCAAGGCCAAGAGCAACUCUUGGGCGAGUUUUCUUAUCCGGUUGAUUGAAUUGGGCUAGAUGUGGUUAAAAUGUAAUGCCUAAUUAGAGUAACGGGAUCACGCACCUUCUUUCAGAGGUUUGAGAAAACCAUCUUCAGACGCAUACAGAAAAUGGUAAAAUGGAUCUUGAACGAGAGAAUGAAGUUCUUUACAGACACGCUUGGAAAAACACAGUUAAGUGUUUGGUUUGAUAUACCCGUGGAGGAUUUGACUUGUUCAUAUAGCCUUGUUGAGAUAGGAUAAGGCUGGCCAGAUCCUGCUGGAAUACAGUAUCCCAUUUCCCCUCAAGAUCUCUCUUGUUCUUGCUCCUGAGAAAAAAAAUUAAUGUGAAAUCGAAAAUUUAGCCCUUGAAACCUCAGUUACUGUGGGAAUCAACAGGUUUUUUAUGGUUUCAGCAACUGGGUGUCCGAGUGAAGAGGGAAAAGUAGCUGAAGGUGGAGUUCAAGAUCAGCAUACUAAGAAAUAUCAUAAGGUAUUUUUCCAAUCUGCUGCGAGUGGGCCGUCUUCAGUAAAUAUAUAGGGGGAAUGAAGAACCUCUUUGCUCAUCCGGAGGGGAAUACGAAGGGGAAAUGUUCUCUUUUCUCCAGAAAUCUUGAAGAAAUUAGUUUACCUAUGCAGAAGUUUUACAUUUCGGCGCCAGAUGAGUGAUUGCCCGCAUGGGGUAAAAAAUACUAAUUUAGUUUUGGAUUAAAGACUUGAGGAAGCUUUAAUUGUGCCAUAAAUCCGAUAUGAAUUCCUAUCUCUGGUGCUUGUGAGUAACCUGAAAAUGUCUGACUUCUCUAUGCGACAUUCAAUUCAGACUCAGCACAGACCAGAAUUCUACAUUCCAGCUGCUUGGAUGAGGGAUGUCUCUGCUUAUUGUAUCAUUUCUGCAGCAUGCAUGCAUCCAUCCUACGUUGAUGGUUUGCUUACCCUGGGGCGAUGUCUGCAUUCUCCACUGAGUUGGCGGGCCACUCCAUGCUCGGAUGAUAGUGAUAGGGACCCAGCGAGGGGACCAAUUUCUCCAUCUCACUAAAUUUAUGCCCAUGCCCCGAUUCUUCAUAUAUACUUUUUUAAUGAUGGUUGACUUUACUGCACGACAUGACCCAUGUUUAUCAAAAAGUACGACGAGGGCUGUAUUUUCCCCCACCGCAAUUUAGUGGAUGCACUGGCCCGUUCAGGCCAAUUUUUUCGUUCAUGCUUUUUUACUCCAAUCUCUCUGGUGAAUAUGGCAGGGAAAAUGCGGAUGAGCGGGCCCACGCGUGACGAAAAUGGACAUCAUGAUUGAGGAAACGUCAGCUGUUUGCGGCCACAUCUUCUGCAAGCCUUGCAUCACUGCCGCGUGAAGCUUUCUCUAUCCAGGACAUUCACCGCAUCUACCUCCCUGGGUCAACUCCCUGACGUCACAACCUGAAGGAAUUCUGAAGGUUAAAGGUUCAGGUUGACCCGCCCAUCUUGGGAAAUGGCUCUGCCAUCGUGAGCGACAC